ACCACUGGUGACAGCUCUUUCUGGGGGCUGGGAAGGACGGCUGGACCGCCGCCCUCUCGGCGCUGCCUCUAAAAGCAAGGAGACUUGGACUGGUUGUGCGUGUGGACUUUUCCAGCUUGAGGAGGAGAUCGAUUUUGCGGAAUGGAGGUGUCGACGCAGGAAGCCGGUCAUGAUCCCUGAAGUGAGAGAGCGGUUUGAAAAUCAGUAUGCGCCCUCCGAUUCCAUUUUGUCCCUCACACGCACGGAAGGAAGCUGGGGAGGAUAGGGGACGGCGUUAUCGACAGCCGCUCUUGCUGAGCAAAGGGAGCUGUGGAUAUUUUCUCCCUGUAUUUUUCGGCGUGUGUGUUUCAUUUCUCGGCAGUGGGCGCGCAUGAUAACAUUAUCGCUGGCGUUAAGAAAGGCGCUUCCAUCGCUCAAACAUCGUUUCCCUGCUUUGAGGUUUGCCUUGUUGCACCUCUGCCCCCCACCCUGCUGCCCACCCCGCAGGCUCCCCGUCGCCGGACAGGUCCUUUUCUCCUUUACGAGUGUGGGAGGGCUGGCCCCCGGCUCCGCAGCCCUGGGAGCCCCCUCCCAGCAGGCACUGGGUCCAGUCCUUUGCGUCCCGGCCCCCCACAAGGUCUCGAGUUGAGGCUCCCCUGUGGCAGGCGGGGUGGGACCCCUAAGGGGAGGCCCCUGGCUUGGGAGUGGUGGGGCAGACCCUGGACGCGCAGCGCUUCCUCUUGGCCUUGGCGAUGGGCCGGACCCUCCCACGCGCCUCCCUGGCGUCCAGCUCUGAAUGGGCCCCAGCCGGGAGCCAGGCGGGCCCCGGGGGUUCCGACGCUGGGGACCAGCUGCAGGAAAGCAGGAGGAGGGAAAUCUGAGGCAGGGGCAUGUGCCGAGCGGCCGGGGCUCAGGUUUAGCCUGAUAAGUUUAUCACGCGGUGCCGGCUGCCAACCGUCGGCUCGGAGCAGGCCAGCGGGCCUGGGCAGGAGCGCGCUCCCAGCCGAUAGCGCCUUCCAAGUGUUAUCAAAGGCCCGGUGGCCCAGGGAGCGGGAGAAGCGGAGCGGGACGGAGGGAGAAAGAGACUUGCAACCAUUUCACCCCAACGACAAGAGCCAGGGAGGGAGAGGGCCCCCGAGGUGCCUUGAGGGGGGGGGGGGGGUCGACAUCCCAGCUACGCCAGCAAACACAGUUAGGAAUUAGCCUCAUGCAGGCUGGACAACCCCACUUCUCCCUCGUCACGGAUGCUGCCGGCGGCCCUUCUGCAAGGCCUCAAGAAAAAGUCUCCUUUUCUGGAAGGUUCUUCACCCCCGAACACGUGAGGGAACCGGGGGGGGGCGGUUAUUUCUCCACCAUUCUUGAGAGUGAGAGUCAGACUCAGUCUAGCCCCCCGAACGCCCAGCCUGGGGACCGGUCACCCCCCUGGAACCACCACUCAGGACUCAAAUGCCUCAUCAUCCCUGCCUCUCGCGAAUGAGGAAACGGGGUCUCAGCUUUUUCUUUCUGCGUUUUCCGUGAAAGAAAAGAGCGGACGGCUGUGCUCCCGAGAGCCCACAUGACAGCCCAGGCCCGUGACCUUCCAGAGGCACGUGCCACAGGCCAGGCACCAUCUAGGCCGGCGGGGAAGCUGACACAAGGCCCGCCCUCAGUGGGGAUGCGGAGGAGAAACAGAACAGGGAGGCUGGGGCAUCAGUCUGGCCCCUGCUUGGCCAGGUAACUUUCAGGCACUGCCCUCUGGGCCUCUGUUUCUCUUGUCUGUAACAACGACACCUGUGGUCUUUAGAACUCUCUAGAUCCCGUCUGCAGGCUCCAGGGUCCCAGAUGUCACGUCAUCAACUCUUGAAUGCCGGGAUAGAGAGCCGGGGGUGGUACCCGGCGGCUUGGGGGGCCUGCGGUGUGCACGGGCGCAGGGCGAGCGUCCGCACGCGGGGCGCGGCUUCAGACGGAGGAGGCCUGGGAAGUGGUUCCUGACACGUUCCUGCGACUUAGGCCUCUGCCGCGAGUGUCUCACACUUACUGAACUCAGAAGUGCAAGCACUUUACAGGAACGAACCCUUCGAGGGAGGCGUCAUCAUCCCUGAGUUCCUGGGGAGGAAACAGAGGCGAGGCCGGAGAGGCGAAGCGACGUGCAGGCACCCCGGCCAUCACCGGGGCCAGCCCUCGGGGACCCCUCUCAGCCCUGAGCCGCCGCUGUGCACAAAUACAGUUGCUGUCCUUGCUGAAGGCUCUGACUUUGGAGCCCGGGCUUCCAGGCUGGCACCCGGGGCCCGGCGUCCUCCCUGCCGUCGCAUGGCGGGCUGACCUGGGCUCGCGGGGCCGCCCCUGCGGACAGCUGGAGCCACAGACACCAGAGCGAAGCUCGGAGCUAUUUCUGCAAAGGGUGACUUGGGACUUCCUCCCAGAUCUCUUAAAAAUAAAGGGGUUAUCGUGGCCCUCAGGCUCCUUCCUCCA